rnacentral:lncRNA from 1 species
CACUUAAUUUGCGCAAGUCAAAUCUUUUACGGAGGGUAGUCGGAUACCAAAUCUGGACUCGUUGGGACAGUAGUUCCGAAGCCCAUACUUCAUUGAACUUUCACUGAUGCUGACACAGCAUCCCUUUCUUUUGGCGAACUCUCCUUUCCUCACGAGAACUGUAAGAAAGGACUUAACUCGAAAGAGAGUAUUCAAUGGCCCUUCCCUUGCUCUAUCCUAGGUCACUGAAGCCGUGGCUACUGAAUACACCGGAACCAGAUCCACCUUUAUGGAGAUUUCUUUUCCUCCUUCUCUACCACUGAUGCGCUGUGGGUCAACCUCAGUUCCCACUUUUGCCUCCACGGAUGAUGUUGGGUCAAAAUAGACUCGUUAUGGUGUGGCGGAUCCAAUGGAAUCUGCUUAAUCAACAUAAGUAUCCGGGCGCUGAGGCUGUCUCUACCACGGGCGGGGGCUUCUUGCAAUCUCUCUUAUCUAUAUGGAUCUGCAAUUUCAUCUAUCCCAUUCUACCAGAUCUGCAAUUUCAUCUAUCCCAUUCUACCAACUGCCUUAACCUUUUUCCCCUGUCUUUCCUUUUUCCUUGACUCCUUUCAAUUACCCCUUAUUAGUUCCUUCUAUACCUAUUUCUACAUUCUCUUUGGUCUACUUUGUACAUUAACCUUGCUCGGUGCGACCCCCUUCUUUCUCAAUGGGCACAUAACUAGGGAAAUGAUUGGAACAAUAGAAGUAUAUUGAUUUAUUGAUGAAUAGCCGAUUUUCUUGAGAGAAGAGAGAAAUUCCUCAGCCCAGCAUUCCCGUGCUCUCCCCAAUACUAACUUGUAUUUCGCUCGUUCCGAACCUUUCCCGUUUAAUCACAUAUCGGCACUUUCCGCGGAAAAGAAGAACAACCAGCGCCAAACUCAAGCUUCCAAUCACGGGGCCCACAUAGUUGUUAGCUCGGGAAAGCUGUCUUUAUCUAUUGAAUAUGAUCCUUAACUCCUUGAAUAAUUGGACUGUAAGAAAACAAACAGUAAGAAAACGAAUAUGGGCACCCACAUAGUUGUUACUAGAGGAACCCUAAUUAGACCAUACUUAUUGACUUAGUGCUACGUGGGCCUUAGCAAUGUGUGCACCGUUACGAACUUAUUGACUUACACCUAUACCAGUACCCAUCUUUAAGGAAGAAGCGGGUUAGUUAGAAGUUUGUAGCCGACACAACAAAGGCAAGAACAAUGGAUAUGAAGUGCAUUGAAGAGAUAUUAGGGACCUUCCAAAACCCUUUAAGACAUCAUAGAGGAACCCAAAUCUACUAACUGAUCGUAAGCCCAACAAACAACAGCUGAAAAGAAUAAGCUAACAAGAAUAAGCUAACAAGCAACGGAACAAUAAGUUGAAAGAAACAAUCCUGUUAGUAAGCUCUGAAGCCAUACAACAAGUAUGAAUAUCGGUACCCCGCCCGCCUUAUAGUCAUUGGCGUUAGCGCAUUGUUUGUUCUCUGGUUUUCCUUUCUUUUCCGAACUUAAACAACUAGAUCCGUAAACAUAGGCUAUUGGGUGGGGAAAGGAGGGUUCAGCUCCUUAAACAUAGGCUAUUAGGGAAAGGAGGGUUCAGCUCCUUAAACAUAGGCUAUUAGGGAAAGGAGGGUUCAGCAUGAAAGAAGAGAGUAGCCAUAUCUUGUAACAAGCGAUGCUGUUCGGUAGCAGUCCAACACCCCAACUAACGAAACAAGUGCUUUACUUGACUCUCUCCCGCUGUCCUAUCCAAUGAAUAAGUAAAAGGCCGGUCUAUCACCAUAAGCCACACCGUAGAAAAUGGUUGCAUCAAUGCGUCGCGUCUUUCUUUAUUAGCCCAGAUACUCAUCCGAUCAAGGACUCCAAUAAACCCGUAAACUCCUAAAGCACAUUUCGUUUCAAUUCCAUGCAAGAGAAGUGGAGCUGUAGAUAGGAAUGAGAUGACUGAUAGAACUCAAUGACAAGCAAUAGUUUCCAUUGCACUAAUAUUAAGCUUUCAAAGACAAGGAGCAGAGCAAUGCACGUAACAAAGAAAGAAAAGGUAGGUCUAUCUAAUAGGUUUUCAUAAUAGACAGGUUUUCUAGUAGCCGCAUUGUGUCGGGCAUUCCUAUCUACUUUCUUCCCAUAUAGAUUAUGUUGGAUUCAUUCAAGCAAAAUCCACCUUGAUGCUGGACUAAGUCAAUCCAAAAUCAUUUAUACAAGAACAUUCUACUUACUAAAGAAGAUGGGGUGUUAGUAUUAUUAGAGAAUCGCAUUCAUUCACGUAAGAAAGAGAUGUUUUCGUUCACUUCAGGAAAAGAAAGAGGCAUAGUUCUUUUUUGCAUUUCCUUUUCUUUCACAUAGAUUAGACCUAGAGUAGAAAACCUUGACUAGAGCAAGUGCUUCUUAGAAAAUCCCAUCUACGUCUAAGAGCCGAAUUUAGCGCUUUUCAUCACUUGGUAGGAGUAAUGAUGCUCUUUCCGACAUAGGCUAUCUUACACGAGUUCAACUUCUGUGU